rnacentral:rRNA from 1 species
UACGUAGGUGGCGAGCGUUGUCCGGAUUUACUGGGCGUAAAGAGCGCGCAGGCGGUCGUGCAAGUCGCGUGUGAAAGCCCCCGGCUCAACUGGGGAGGGUCACGCGAUACUGAUCGACUCGAAGGCAGGAGAGGGUAGUGGAAUUCCCGGUGUAGUGGUGAAAUGCGUAGAUAUCGGGAGGAACACCAGUGGCGAAGGCGACUACCUGGCCUGUUUCUUGACGCUGAGGCGCGAAAGCUAGGGGAGCAAACGGG